GCCAGAUGGCUUAGUUGGUAGAGCAUGAGACUCUUAAUUUCAGGGUCAUGAGUUCAAGCCCCACGUUGGGCA